UACAGAGGGUGCAAGCGUUAAUCGGAAUUACUGGGCGUAAAGCGCGCGUAGGUGGUUUGUUAAGUUGGAUGUGAAAUCCCCGGGCUCAACCUGGGAACUGCAUCCAAAACUGGCAAGCUAGAGUAUGGUAGAGGGUGGUGGAAUUUCCUGUGUAGCGGUGAAAUGCGUAGAUAUAGGAAGGAACACCAGUGGCGAAGGCGACCACCUGGACUGAUACUGACACUGAGGUGCGAAAGCGUGGGAGCAAACAGG
rnacentral:rRNA from 1 species